rnacentral:rRNA from 1 species
GAUGAACGCUAGCGGGAGGCCUAACACAUGCAAGCCGAGCGGUAUUGUUUCUUCGGAAAUGAGAGAGCGGCGUACGGGUGCGUAACACGUGUGCAACCUGCCUUUAUCUGGGGGAUAGCCCUUCGAAAGGAAGAUUAAUACUCCAUAAUAUAUUGAACGGCAUCGUUUAAUAUUGAAAGCUCCGGCGGAUAGAGAUGGGCACGCGCAAGAUUAGCUAGUUGGUGAGGUAACGGCUCACCAAGGCGAUGAUCUUUAGGGGGCCUGAGAGGGUGAUCCCCCACACUGGUACUGAGACACGGACCAGACUCCUACGGGAGGCAGCAGUGAGGAAUAUUGGUCAAUGGGUGCAAGCCUGAACCAGCCAUCCCGCGUGAAGGACGACUGCCCUAUGGGUUGUAAACUUCUUUUGUAUAGGGAUAAACCUACCCUCGUGAGGGUAGCUGAAGGUACUAUACGAAUAAGCACCGGCUAACUCCGUG